GCAAAACGCGAAGAACCUUACCUACUCUUGACAUCCAGAGAACUUAGCAGAGAUGCUUUGGUGCCUUCGGGAACUCUGAGACAGGUGCUGCAUGGCUGUCGUCAGCUCGUGUUGUGAAAUGUUGGGUUAAGUCCCGCAACGAGCGCAACCCUUAUCCUUUGUUGCCAGCGGUUAGGCCGGGAACUCAAAGGAGACUGCCAGUGAUAAACUGGAGGAAGGUGGGGAUGACGUCAAGUCAUCAUGGCCCUUACGAGUAGGGCUACACACGUGCUACAAUGGCGCAUACAAAGAGAAGCGACCUCGCGAGAGCAAGCGGACCUCAUAAAGUGCGUCGUAGUCCGGAUUGGAGUCUGCAACUCGACUCCAUGAAGUCGGAAUCGCUAGUAAUCGUGGACCAGAAUGCCACGGUGAAUACGUUCCCGGGUCUUGUACACACCG
rnacentral:rRNA from 1 species